UUUGGCAGGGACCGCAAUGACAUUGAAAAUGCAGUGUAAGAAGAGAAACAGACAUUUCAACAAAGACAAGGAUAGCUGAUAUAGAAGCGAGAAAGCUCUAAGAUUGAAAAAAUUGAAGUUAAAGUGCAAAUUUUUAAUUAGUCUUUAGUUUUGAGUGUCGGUGUGUAGUCGAUAAAAUAGUGGCUUUGGUACAUUAAACCCGAUGAAGUGGCAAAGGAUCAUGGUGAUAUCAGAAAGAAAUCAUAGACCAUAAUGGAAUUCUAAACAACCUGCGGUGGUUUACAAAAGCUUUACGAGGCAUCAAGUCCGUGAAAUGUAGAUUUAUAAAUGUUAUACAAAAAUAUACAACAAAAUAAAAAAGUAAAACAAAAGCAAUAAGAAAAAUGAGAAAA